UACGUAGGGACCGAGCGUUGUCCGGAUUCAUUGGGCGUAAAGAGCUCGUAGGCGGCCACUCAAGUCGAAUGUGAAACCUCGAGGCUUAACCUCGAGCCUGCAUUUGAUACUGGGCGGCUAGAGUCUGGUAGGGGGAUCUGGAAUUCCUGGUGUAGCGGUGGAAUGCGCAGAUAUCAGGAGGAACACCGGUGGCGAAGGCGGCGAGCUGGUCCAUUACUGACGCUGAGGCGCGACAGCGUGGGGAGCAAACAGG
rnacentral:rRNA from 1 species